UGAUCUUGGACAAUGAAUGAAACCCUUUGAUAUUUCAGGAGACGUUCAGCGUGAUCAUUGUACUAUCUGUGGCUGAUUCAGACACGAGUCGGUGCAGAUAAAGACAGAAUGAGGAACGUUUCUGCAGACAUAUCCAUCAGAUUAGAGAGCAGCUGCUAAAAUACCAUCACAAAGCAGCAGCACGGAUCUGAAGCUGCUGCUGUCUCUGGAGUCCACCGAGGUGGAGGUGGAGGGUCCUCCAGACGCCCCCACCUUUAUGGAUCCCACCUGGUCUGAGUUCGUCGCCACACCUGCUGAUCAGAGAUGAAUGAGAAAUGCCUCAGCGUGAGGAUCCAAACAGCUUCUUUUCAGUGAGCCAGCAGCCAGAGGAUGAGAACACCGAAGCGUUUGGUUUAUCUUUUCGCUGACAGAGCAUCGUGGGGGGGUCUGCUAACCCCCACAGGGAGCCCGGCCGGAUGGGAGGAAGCUUGGAGAUUCAUGGGGUGAGAUAUGUGAGAGUGUGGGUGGAGGUGUGUUUGGACGGCGUGGAGCAGCUGCUCCAGACGGGGGGAUACAGGAAAACGUAUCGAAAUCUUAACAACAAACAUGCUGUAAAUAUAGAUUCACAGGAUCUAAUUUAUGCAGGAAAUAACAUCUUUACUUCCAUAAACUGUUGAGAUUCAACAGCAAAAUGCAUGAACUUUAUAGUGAAAGUUGCUCAAAAUGCACUCACAGAAUGGACAUUUCCUAAAUUUCUCUUAGGUUUCAGUCGCUGGAGUCCCAAAUGAUGUUUCAGCUUCAAGCGUUUUAGGAGAAGUUGAGGUUCAUUCAGUAAAUCCAGAUCAUUUCUCAGGUUGGUUUCACUCAUGGAGUCCUGAAGACCAUCAGAGACAAAUGUUGUUCCUCGGUGGUCUCUGAACUCACCAGGGCGUUUGGCAGUCACAACUGAACGUGGUUUCAAAAAACUUCUUAGCUUUCAGAGUUUUUGUUUAGUAUAAACAGAAGAAUUAUGUCACAUGAAUGUAAUACAUUUAGGAAUACAUCCUUAGAAGAUUUUAGUUUGGAUUUUUACCACUUUGUCUUUGCUUUGUACAUUUUUAUGGGUAGAUUCAUACAUUUUUAUUAUGAUCUUUGUUAUGAAAAACAUUAUAAUCCCUUAUUUUUACUUUUUGCAGUAAAAAGACUACAUUUACCAUGUUUUUGUACAGUUUCAGAUUUAUUGUAAAAAUAAUGAUUUGUUUAAUGAUGAAAUAUCUUUAAUUUAUAUUUCUGCAUUUUUAAAAUUUUUUUUAUUGAUUUAACGCAGCUCUAAACGUUACCUUGCCCCGCCCAGUUGAUACUUUUGGAGCAUUGUUGAGGUGGGCGGAGUAUACUUCUGCCAACAUGCCCCUCCCACUUCAGGCUUAAGUUUUGUCAUUUGUUAGAACCCUCGGAGUGGCUUCUGUAAAGAAAUUCUCUAAAAAACUGACCAGACGCUGCAAUUAAAAGUGGGCGGAGCAUGCUGACCUCCACGUUCAAAACGUUUGACAGAUGUAGCGGUGGGGGUGUGGCCUUCCAGCGAGCUCACUGCUGAUUGGACUCAGACCGGCUCAGAACAAUGACUGCUUACUGACAACGUCUGGCUCCAAUAUGGCAGUGUCCGUACUGUGAAAGUACUGAUUGGAGCCAGACGUAAAUGCCAAACUCUGUCCAGUUCUCUAAUACAGUCAAUGAAGGGAAAAACAGAAACUGGUCUGACUUUUUUUCUCUGACUUUGUCGAUGUUUGUGUGCUUGAUCCAGAUCAGAUUCAGUUUAGCUUUUCACUACGCAAGAGAAUCUGAGGAAAUGUAUUCUGGUGCAGAUCAAAGCUCCUGUCUCCCAUAAAACACUUCUUCAUGUAGUAUUUGUGAGUAAAAACUACUGGGACUAUUGACGGGAAAAGUGAAGGAGGUGUGACAAAAUACAUGACAGUAUUCUGAUGACCAGAAAACUUUAACUGUAAUAAUGUCAUUAGUUAGUACUAUCUGAGGCCAGAUUAAGAAGAUUUAACACCAAAAAGGUUCAGCAGGUUCAGACGAUGGAUGGAUGGAUGGAUGGAUGGAGGAUGGAUGGAUGGAUUUAUGGAUGGAGGAUGGAUGGAUGGAUCCUCUAAGAUCAAUAUUACAGAGAGAGGAUUUCAUUCCAGUCUUUUAUGGGAAAAACCAACACGACUUUACGUGAGGUUUGUAGGAAAACGGAUCAUAGUCCUGCUAAUGUGGAGGAAAAGCUCUCCAUCCGUCAUUCCGUGGUUCUAACCUCCUGGUUCGAUGGGCGGACUCUGUUUCCAUAAGUGUUCACUCUGUGGUUAUGUGGUUUCCUGUUGGUUUUCUUGGUUUUAUCACCAAUGUUUCGAGUCAAAUCUCUUUAACGUGAAUGUAAUCUAGUAAAAUAACUUGUAACAGGAUAUGGAUUUACUAAAAAAAACAAAGCUUUCCUUUGAUUUAUUCUGUGUCUGACUGCUCACAGUCAUGUUCGGGAUUUUACUGUUCAGGAAGUUGAAUGAGGUUUAAAGGUCAAAGAGCUCCUCGGACCCUGAGAUGAAUGAGUCGGACGAUGACCAGAAUGGCCUCAGUGUCCUCUGUCCGACCUUCCCACUCUUUAGGUCCCCGUUUUCAUAUUUGUGUUGUUGCUAAGCAACAGGAAUGGGGUUUUCCAAGUAAAUUCACUCAUUUUAGAAUUAAAUCAUCCAAAAGUACCUUCAUUUUUAAAGUGAUGAGUUUCUUAAUUCUCUAUUUUAUAAGUCAAAUUGAGUCACAGAUUUUUGACGUACAUAUUUUUAAAAAAUUGCAUUUUUUUCUUUUUUUUUUCUGCUGACACAGCUAAAGUUCAUGGUAAAAACAACAGAAAACUGGGGAAGUUCAGACAGAGGUUUCCAUGGUUACCACAUGACUCUGUUGUGGAGCUCCAGAGUGAUAACCUGACACUGAAACAGGACGGAAGAUGAGAAGCGACCUAAGAAGGGCAGAAGAACUCCUCCUCCUCCUCGUCUUCCUCCAACAACAAACCGCACACUCAUUAUGAUUCCUGCAGGAAGGGUUAGCGAGCACAGAGGGCACGGAAAGUCAGACGCUCUGGGAAAUGAUGCCUUCAAGCGUCUGACUCAUGCAUGGCGACGUUCUAAACGGAGGAGCGGAGUAACUACAGGCCGGUGUUUGGGGCUGCGUGUAGCAACCUGUGUUUUUAUGCUGUCAGGCAUCAAAACUACACAUGAUGUAAAGCUACUUUUUGACUCAACAGUUGAAAUAGUUCAGUUAGAGGGAUUAGACGUGAUUCCAGCUAUUGGAGGAUUCCUCUUUCCACAUUAAAGUUCUUUCUUUUGCAUAAAAGUCCAAUUAAAAAUCUGUUUUUAGAGUAAACUUUUCUGCUGAACGUCCUUAAACGUUUCGAGCUCGGACUGAAACCAUGCGGUCUUUUUGUGGCUUUUGGUUUAAUAACCUCCGUUAUAUAUGAUGUUUAUGAGUGAAGUGAAAGUGCAGCUCUGCUUUCCUUUCUCCUCUCUGGGUUUGGGUGUUACAUCAUCACCGCCGGCGGAGGUCCUCCGGGUCGGCGUGGAAACUGGAGACUGGAAAGCGAGCGGUGAAGGCAUGAGAACUUCCAGAUGACGCUGGAAACAUCUGCAGGAAUGGACGGUGCAUCAACGGUGAUUAAGAGUCUGUGUGGGAAUUAAUGAACAACCUGUUCAUAAAGAAUAUAAGUUA